rnacentral:rRNA from 1 species
AGAGUUUGAUCCUGGCUCAGAUUGAACGCUGGCGGCAUGCCUUACACAUGCAAGUCGAACGGCAGCACGAGAGCUUGCUCUUGGUGGCGAGUGGCGAACGGGUGAGUAAUAUAUCGGAACGUACCCUAGAGUGGGGGAUAACGUAGCGAAAGUUACGCUAAUACCGCAUACGAUCUACGGAUGAAAGUGGGGGAUCGCAAGACCUCAUGCUCAUGGAGCGGCCGAUAUCUGAUUAGCUAGUUGGUGGGGUAAAAGCUCACCAAGGCGACGAUCAGUAGCUGGUCUGAGAGGACGACCAGCCACACUGGAACUGAGACACGGUCCAGACUCCUACGGGAGGCAGCAGUGGGGAAUUUUGGACAAUGGGCGCAAGCCUGAUCCAGCAAUGCCGCGUGAGUGAAGAAGGCCUUCGGGUUGUAAAGCUCUUUUGUCAGGGAAGAAACGGUGGACUCUAAUACAGAUCACUAAUGACGGUACCUGAAGAAUAAGCACCGGCUAACUACGUGCCAGCAGCCGCGGUAAUACGUAGGGUGCAAGCGUUAAUCGGAAUUACUGGGCGUAAAGCGUGCGCAGGCGGUUGUGCAAGACAGAUGUGAAAUCCCCGGGCUCAACCUGGGAAUUGCAUUUGUGACUGCACGGCUAGAGUGUGUCAGAGGGGGGUAGAAUUCCACGUGUAGCAGUGAAAUGCGUAGAGAUGUGGGGGAAUACCGAUGGCGGAGGCAGCCCCCUGGGAUAACACUGACGCUCAUGCACGAAAGCGUGGGGAGCAAACAGGAUUAGAUACCCUGGUAGUCCACGCCCUAAACGAUGUCUACUAGUUGUCGGGUCUUAAUUGACUUGGUAACGCAGCUAACGCGUGAAGUAGACCGCCUGGGGAGUACGGUCGCAAGAUUAAAACUCAAAGGAAUUGACGGGGACCCGCACAAGCGGUGGAUGAUGUGGAUUAAUUCGAUGCAACGCGAAAAACCUUACCUACCCUUGACAUGUCUGGAAUCCUUGAGAGAUCAGGGAGUGCUCGAAAGAGAAUCAGAACACAGGUGCUGCAUGGCUGUCGUCAGCUCGUGUCGUGAGAUGUUGGGUUAAGUCCCGCAACGAGCGCAACCCUUGUCAUUAGUUGCUACGAAAGGGCACUCUAAUGAGACUGCCGGUGACAAACCGGAGGAAGGUGGGGAUGACGUCAAGUCCUCAUGGCCCUUAUGGGUAGGGCUUCACACGUCAUACAAUGGUACAUACAGAGGGCCGCCAACCCGCGAGGGGGAGCUAAUCCCAGAAAGUGUAUCAUAGUCCGGAUUGUAGUCUGCAACUCGACUACAUGAAGUUGGAAUCGCUAGUAAUCGCGGAUCAGCAUGUCGCGGUGAAUACGUUCCCGGGUCUUGUACACACCGCCCGUCACACCAUGGGAGCGGGUUUCACCAGAAGUGGGUAGCCUAACCGCAAGGAGGGCGCUCACCACGGUGGGAUUCGUGACUGGGGUGAAGUCGUAACAAGGUA